AAGGAGCACACAAAUAUUGCAGGAAUUUCGUAGAGUAUGCAGAAAAAAACAGAAAACAGAACAUUACCAACAGACCAUAAUAUAAAGUUAAAAAUUAAGCACAAAGCCAGUCAAAACUUCCAGAAGAGUUAGUGAAAUUG
ensembl:misc_RNA